rnacentral:rRNA from 1 species
CCUACGGGAGGCUGCAGUGGGGAAUAUUGGACAAUGGGCGCAAGCCUGAUCCAGCAAUACCGCGUGUGUGAAGAAGGCCUGAGGGUUGUAAAGCACUUUUAAUCGGGAGGAAUAGCGGUCGGUUAAUACCCGGUCGUCUGACAUUACCGAUAGAAAAAGCACCGGCUAACUCCGUGCCAGCAGCCGCGGUAAUACGGAGGGUGCAAGCGUGGAGCGGAGCGUGCGUGCGUGAAGCGUGCGUACACGGGUGAAAGCCCCGGGCUUAACCUGGGAACGGCAUUUGAAACUGAUCGACUAGAGUUGGGUAGAGGGGAGUGGAAUUUCAGGUGUAGCGGUGAAAUGCGUAGAUAUCUGAAGGAACACCAGUGGCGAAGGCGGCUCCCUGGACCCAAACUGACGCUGAGGCACGAAAGCGUGGGUAGCAAACAGGAUUAGAUACCCCAGUAGUC